UUCUGCCUGAGAGUGAGAUCCCAUAUUCAUCCUUCUGUUUCUGACUUAUUUCACUUAACAUGAUUUCUUCAAGCUCUAUCCAAGAUAAACUGAAAACAGUGAAGUCACUGUUUUUAAUAGCUGAGUAGUAUUCCAUUGUGUAUAUAUACCACAACUUGCUCAGCCACUCAUCUGUUGUUGGACACCUGGGCUGCUUCCAGGUUUUGGCUAUUACAAAUUAUGCUGCUAAGAAAUAGGUAUACACAAAUCUUUUUGGAUGGUUGUGUUUGGUUCCUUAGGCUAUAUCCCCAGGAGAGAAAUUGCAGGAUCAUAGGGUUUCAUGGAAAUGUUCAACUGACUGAGGAAGAUUGUACUUUGUUCCAUAAAACACAGGAAAGAGUAAAGAAACACAUGGGAAGAUAUUGGCUUCUGUUGACAAGACAAGUACUGACUGGACUAGGAAUGCUGAGCUGAAACAAACUCUCCAAACACUGGAAGUAAAGCUCCAGGCCCAACAAUCCCUGUCUUUUGGGUCUAACUUGACAGAAACUAAAACUAACUACUGUGUUCAAUUUUCACAAAAAAAUGUCUGCUAGAAGUUGAUAUGACUGGCAAUCUGGAGGUUCAAGCUCAACAAACUAGAACUCAAGCAAAGAACCAGAACAACUGUGAAUAGAAACUGUUCCUGAGCAUGAAGACUGGAGGGAUGAAAGAGAUUGAAAACUACCAUAAACUAAUCAAUGAAAAGUCUAGGGAAUAUGGUGAAAUAAAUAACCCGCUAAAACCUCUAGCCUUCUAGUAAACACUCAGUUCCUA